GUGAGACACACGACCUCACUCUACCCUUCGUUGUAACCUCACAUCACCGUGAACAAUGUGACCCUUCGUCACCCCUGUUUUAUCUGUCCAAACCAGGUGGUGAAUAUCCUCUGGUGGACAAUGACCUUGGACAAGGAGGGACUAUAUGUUAGUCUUAGGGACCAGUUAUAACUCCAACAUUGUUCAACUGGGAUAGGAGACGUUAUUGACAUCCAUCAAGAAUACAAUACGAUCGUUCGGCCAUCGUGUUUGUGUGCGUUGUCCAGUUCAUUUAUGGGGUACAACUUACGAGACACGCUCCUCUGAUAUAUAACGUCGUCCAAUAUACGACGUCAUCAAGUUGCCAGCGCAUGUUCGAAUCUCCAGAUAUGACAUUAUGA